rnacentral:tRNA from 1 species
UUUCAAACUAGUCGGCAGAGACGGUUGUUUUUUGGAUGAUUGGUGUUAUUUGGCGUUUGAAAG